UGUCGACGAUUUUUUCCAUUUUUUUUGCCUUUCUUGUCCCUGUCAGUGUCAAUUCAAAUUCGAUUUUAGGGUUUACAAGUUUCAUUUUUUUGAAACAAUUUUCUGCUUGAAGAUUACGAAUUCGAAAAUGGAAGAUAUUGCAAUGACAUCGUCACCGCUCUCCAAAACGACACAAGAGCUGGCAAUGGAAGGACAGAAACAUCUAGAAGAAACAAUCCAAGCAGCCUAUCAAAUCCUCUCUUCAAUGAACGACGAGCUUUGUAACCCUACUUUAUGGUCCACUACAACUCCCAACACUGCAACCUCGCCUGUUCCGUCGCAAAACGGCAUUGUAAAUGGCGAUUCUGCAUCUGAUGCUUCUAUUCAUCACUUCGACGGAACCACCAAUACUGGCGGUGCCGGUGUUGGUACAGGCAACGGAGCUCUCGAUGAAGCUCGGUUUCGGUAUAAGAACUCAGUAGCUGCUCUUCGUGAGGUUCUCGCGGCGAUCCCUAAUUCUCAUAAGGCAAAAGCAUUUGAAACAAGUUUGGGUUCUCCAGCUGAUCAAGAUGAUGUUGCUAAGUUAGAAGAACAAGCCUCCAAUCUGAGAAAGGAACUUGUUAACAAGAACGCGUAUCUUAAGCUUCUUAUUGAUCAAUUUCGAGAGCUUAUCAAUGAUAUUUCUACAUGGCAAAGUCCCUGCUCUGUCUGAAGUCUUACAGAUGUAUCAUGGGACGAGAUGAGUACAGAGAAAUUAGAGAUUGUUGUCUUCUUAAGAAAAUCUUGGAUCCUCCUGCUGUCUCUGUUUACUACCCACCAUACAACACAAAAUGAGUGGUCAAAUAGCAUAAGGUCCCAUCUCCAUUUAAGAGAGUUCGUUGCGAUCUUAUGUAUUGCAAUUAAAUGCCAACCCAAUUCUGCAUGUAAUGUCAAUCUUAUCUAGUAGUCCCCUAAUGUUACAUAGUGCCAAAACUAGCAGUAUAGUAAAAAAAAAUCCAAAUGUUUGUCGUUUUUAUCAAUUGUAACUAAAUAAUUCUGUUUA